AAUUCUCUCUUUCUCACCACACUCAUGCUUCUUCUCCAUUCAAAUGGCAGCAACAAGCCACCAUGCUUCUUCUUCCCUUCAUGGCUGAGCAAACCGCCAAAACGCCACCACCACGCGUUUUUCUCCUCUGGUUCCUAACGAACAACCACGACCAGCACCGGUACCACCGUGAGUCCCUCUCCUCCAUGGCUGCAACCACCACGAGCUCCAACCACUAUGGACGCGAAAAAUAGAGGAAAAAUAAACCCUAGCCAUCGUACCUUCAAGCUCCGAUCUCCGACGAACCGCUCGUCAUCUCGACAAAUCAACAACACCAUUGAACUCCGCUCACCGUCCGCAACAAAACCCGUAAAGAAAUUUCUGAUUCUGACAACCUCCGCCGGGAACCGUCGCCGGUCACGGUGAACCACCGUCUUCUCCAGCCAACCUUCGCCGAGUAGUCACUGAACUCAGAACAAGGAAGCUCUUUCUCUCCUUUGUUCGAAUUGAUGAUCAAUUCAUGCUCUGUUGGUCACUAGGGGAGAAGGAUAAUCACGUCCAGAAAAGAGAAAGGAGAGGAGCACCAUCCACAACCUUGGGAAAUUGAGGGUACGAAUAACGGAAGCGCUUGGCGACAAAGCCAAAGGACAAAAGGAGGCGAGUUAACACAGGAAAGCAAAGAUGUGAUUGGAUUGGAGUUGUAGCUUAGUAAGGAAAUUGGCUAAGACGUCCAGCAGCUGAUUCAAGAUGUUUCGUCGCUUGGUUGCGAUGUGAGGAGAUGCUACUCCACGUGGAAAAAUUUUAAAAGACUCGAAGAAUAGAGUCGGGUGUAAGGCUAGAGCCUUUUGGGUAAAGAGCUUACCAUUGUGGGUUAAAGAUUCCAUGAUUAUUGUAUAAGUAUUGUUUGAGGUUUUGGGUAGGU